UACGGGGGGGGCAAGCGUUUGUUCGGAAUUACUGGGCGUAAAGGGCUCGUAGGUGGCCAACUAAGUCAGACGUGAAAUCCCUCAGCUUAACUGGGGAACUGCGUCUGAUACUGGAUGGCUUGAGUUUGGGAGAGGGAUGCGGAAUUCCAGGUGUAGCGGUGAAAUGCGUAGAUAUCUGGAGGAACACCGGUGGCGAAGGCGGCAUCCUGGACCAACACUGACACUGAUGAGCGAAAGCCAGGGGAGCAAACGGG
rnacentral:rRNA from 1 species